AACAUCUGCUAACCAUGUGUAUGUGACAAAUAAAAUUUGAUUUGAUUUGAAGGUCAGUGGGAACAAGUUGUGACGACGAUCGUGCCAUGCAGUGCUGACUGAAGUUUUGAAAUCAUUUUUGAAAUCAGUGGAACACAACCAGUCAAACAAGCUGUGCAAACUAAACGGAAACAGUGUGUCUUAUAAAAGUGGUUGCAGUCUGCUGUGAAGCUUUCAUCCAUGUAUACAGCAUCAAUCAGAACAUGCAUGACUCUAAUCCACAAGUCAUACAGUCAUCAAAAGGAGAGCUGGCGCAAGCAAAGGCAUCAGCUACAUGGGAAAACACGUGUGGACCUGAAUUGUGAUAACUGCAGUGGCCAAAACAAGAACAAGUUUGUGCUCUGGUAUGCACAAGCUCCACCACAAUCUGUACCUUCACUUCCUGAUCACAAGUUUGCCCGACUGGUGCUUCUGCCUCAUUUUAAGCAGCGCUUCAGAAAGACCAGAGUCAACACUUUGAGAUUGCAGGUGUUGUGAAGGACAGCACUGAUGGGUCAACAUCCCACAGCUGGUUGGACUGGAGGAUGGUACGGUGCUGGUGGAAAGCUAUGGCUGGCAACUACACCUGACUCUACUUCAGGCCACUGCCACAGAUCAAGCAGUACCAGCACUUCAGAUAAGAAUAACCUCAUACAAUGAAAAUGAUUUAUCUAAACUUGGGAGGUGAAUUGAUGUUGUGCAGGGUUGUAAUGUCAGUUUUUUGUUCCCUGUUUUACAGCUUCAAUGCUCUGGAGCCUUGUGUUGUCGCCAAGGCGUUAUCGGACUGUCGGGACCAGGUUUCAGGUGCUGCGCAUCCUUCUUCCCAUAGAUGGUCUGCCUGUGAAAGCACCACCUGGACUGGACACAGCUAGACAAACUAUAUUUGACAAGCUCAGGGAGUUUUGCGGCAAAGAGGGUAUGGACGUCACAUGUCCUGCACCAAAGUCAAGGGCAGGACAGAAACAGGCUCUCGGAAUAUAGAUUCCCUGGUUUGGAUGGACCAGUCAUCAGCACUAUCUGCAGUGCCUCUAUUCACAUGACUCCCUCCUAACACACAUGUUGCUGCUACUAUAAAAAUAAAUUUAAAAAAUGUAUCCUGCUGCUCGGCCACUUUACCCCUAAUUGUAUGCAUAGAACUACCUCUAUCACUGAUAUUGUGUAUGUUAUUUAUAUUGACACUGCCUAUUUCUGAUAUUGCUACUAUGCAAGUAACCAUCUGGCUGUACCAUUUACACCUUCUGUAGAGGCCAUCCACUUAGCAAAAUAUUGAGGUGUGGUUGUAACAUGAUUUUGUGACAUACCACAACAAUAUCAAGUGUCCAUCACAUAAAUAUCUUUAUGUACUGUACAUGUGCACCUCACUCAGGUUUCAUCUCCAGUUGAUUGACCUUAACUUAGUAUUCCAUACAUGUGAUAAGUGCAUAUGUAACGGUAUGCUAAUGUACUGGUGUGGAGGCAUUUGGGCAGCGGUGUAAAAUUACUUGGAAGUACUAAAAUUGUUUUGUGAUAUCUGUACAUUACUUUACUAUUUUAUAUUUUUGGCUACUUUAACUUCACUAUGUUCAUGAUACUUUUUACUCAAUACAUUUUCCUUGACACCCAAAAGUACUUACAUUUUGACAGAAAUUGUCCAAUUCCCACACUUAUCAAGAGAACAUCCCUACUGCCUCUGAUCUGGCCGACUCACUAAAGUCAAAUACUUUGUAGAUUAUGUUGGGGUGUGCCCCUGGCUAACGCUAAUAAAAGGAAAAAA